AGAAUUGUAAGUUAAGAUAAACUAUAAGACUUCAAAUCUUAAAAUAAGAUUAAAUUCUUUAAUUCUG
rnacentral:tRNA from 1 species